rnacentral:rRNA from 1 species
AUGCGUUCCCCUGCCGGCCUCCGCCUCGGCGCCGCCGCGGCCCUCCCCCUCCUCCUCCUGCUCGCGCUCCGGCUGCCGGCCCCCGCCGUCGCCGGCCGCCCCCUCGUCGCCCGCGACCGCAAGCCCGCCCCGUCCGAGGCCGCGGCCACCGCUAGGUGGCUCGCCGCGCAGAACACCUGGGGCGUCCUCAGCACAAUAUCAAGUGAUCUAAGUGGCGCUCCUUUUGGCAAUGUAGUUUCAUAUAGUGAUGGGGUACCAGGUGAGAGCCAUGGAAUUCCCUACUUUUAUCUGACUACUCUGGAUCCCACUGCAAGAGAUGCGUUGGAGGAUGAAAGGACGUCCUUUACCCUUAGUGAGUUCCCUCUUGGCACUUGUGGGAAGGUUGAUCCUGAAAACCCAACAUGUGCAAAACUUACUCUUACCGGAAAGUUGAAGGUGGUUGACCAUAAGUCACCUGAAGCGGAUUUGGCCAAAACCGCGCUUUUCAGCAAGCACCCUGAAAUGGAGGGUUGGCCAAAGAACCAUCACUUCGAGAUCUUUAAACUGGAAAUCGAAAACAUAUUCUUGAUCGACUGGUUUGGGGGUCCUAAACCUAUAUCCCCUUCACAGUAUCUUGAUUAUGGAAGGUGA